UAAUAAGUGUUUUUAUGGCACUUUUUUAAAUCCAUAUCCACCUUGUGUGCAAUGUCAGUCGAUCUUCUUCAUGGAGAUCGACCAAACAUCAACCUUUAUCUUUUAAACUCUUUGUCUGAAAAAUAUUAUGAAUAAACAAUUCAAAAUA
rnacentral:misc_RNA from 1 species